CGGCAACAGCUCAAAUUUGAAAUCUGGCUCUUUUAGAGUCCGAGUUGUAAUUUGCAGAGGGCGCUUUGGCGUUGGCAGCGGUCCAAGUUCCUUGGAACAGGACGUCACAGAGGGUGAGAAUCCCGUACGUGGUCGCUCGGCC
rnacentral:rRNA from 1 species